rnacentral:rRNA from 1 species
GCGAUUCCGGCUACGGAUGGUCAUGCGUCGCAUUAGCUAGUUGGCGGGGUAACGGCCCACCAAGGCGACGAUGCGUAGGGGUUCUGAGAGGAAGGUCCCCCACACUGGUACUGAGACACGGACCAGACUCCUACGGGAGGCAGCAGUGAGGAAUAUUGGUCAAUGGCCGCAGGGCUGAACCAGCCAAGUCGCGUGAGGGAUGACGGUCCUAUGGAUUGUAAACCUCUUUUGUCAGGGAGCAAAGGGCGCCACGUGUGGCGCUUUGCGAGUACCUGAAGAAAAAGCAUCGGCUAACUCCGUGCCAGCAGCCGCGGUAAUACGGAGGAUGCGAGCGUUAUCCGGAUUUAUUGGGUUUAAAGGGUGCGCAGGCGGAAUGUCAAGUCAGCGGUAAAAUUUCGGGGCUCAACCCCGUCGUGCCGUUGAAACUGGCGUUCUUGAGUGAGCGAGAAGUAUGCGGAAUGCGUGGUGUAGCGGUGAAAUGCAUAGAUAUCACGCAGAACUCCGAUUGCGAAGGCAGCAUACCGGCGCUCAACUGACGCUCAUGCACGAAAGCGUGGGUAUCGAACAGGAUUAGAUACCCUGGUAGUCCACGCAGUAAACGAUGAAUACUAACUGUCCGGGCAGAAUGAUGCCUGG